rnacentral:lncRNA from 1 species
GAAUCCCUGUCCCAUCUCACCUGCAGGCCGGAGUUUGGACGACAAUGGGGAAGCCCUUUAUAAUUUCCGGAAGAUAACCUCGGACCAUGGCUUUUCAGAAACGGACCUAUACAUCCUCAAGCAUGACUUAACCUGUGUGAAGGUAUUGCAAUCGGCUGCUGAAUCAAGGCCCUGAAGCAGGGAUGGAUCUGAGGAGGAAGCAGCAGCUCGGCCUACCUGGCCUCUCCUUCCCUACCCAAGGGGUCCCCACACCUGUGCAAAAUAAAGCUUGCUACCACCCGCUGCC